GACGAACGCUGGCGGCGUGCUUAACACAUGCAAGUCGAGCGGUAAGGCCCUUUCGGGGGUACACGAGCGGCGAACGGGUGAGUAACACGUGGGUGACCUGCCCUCAGCUCUGGGAUAAGCCUGGGAAACCGGGUCUAAUACCGGAUAUGACUCCAUGACGCAUGUUGUGGGGUGGAAAGCCUUGUGCGGCUGAGGAUGGGCCCGCGGCCUAUCAGCUUGUUGGUGGGGUGAUGGCCUACCAAGGCGACGACGGGUAGCCGGCCUGAGAGGGCGACCGGCCACACUGGGACUGAGACACGGCCCAGACUCCUACGGGAGGCAGCAGUGGGGAAUCUUGCGCAAUGGGCGAAAGCCUGAUCCAGCCAUGCCGCGUGAGUGAAGAAGGCC
rnacentral:rRNA from 1 species